rnacentral:tRNA from 2 species
GCCCUUUUACGGUAGAGUCACGCUCUUUAAACGCCCUAAGAAGCGUAAGUCAUCGGUUCCAAUCCGAUAAGGGGCC